rnacentral:rRNA from 1 species
GAUGAACGCUAGCGACGAGGCUUAACACAUGCAAGUCGAGGGGCAGCGAGGUUGUAGUUUACUAUAACUGUCGGCGACCGGCGCACGGGUGAGUAACACGUAUGCAACCUGCCCGUUGCAGGGGGAUAAGCGGAAGAAAUUCCGUCUAAUACCGCGUAAUAUGUGACCGAGGCAUCUCGGUUACAUUAAAGAAUUUCGGCAACAGAUGGGCAUGCGGCGCAUUAGCUAGUUGGCGGGGUAACGGCCCACCAAGGCGACGAUGCGUAGGGGUUCUGAGAGGAAGGUCCCCCACACUGGUACUGAGACACGGACCAG